UUCUGUUCGGCUGAAAAAAAAAAAAAAAAACGAGAGAGAGAGAGAGAUUUGUGCUGGAAAAUUCUAUGUCAAGAAGGGAGAAAGAAUUGAGCUCAAGGAAGUAAGGGUUUAAAGAAAGGAAAGGGAAAUUCAUCAAAAAAUUCAUCAAUCAAGAACUCUAGGUAACGCGUUACGGUCCGUCCGAUCUGUCUCUGGAGCUAUCAGUGAUCAAGCACGUGACCAGGCUUAGAGGUGUUUGCCUGGAAUCUGUUUUUGUCAACCAACCUAUGCACCUCCCGUGGAGGUCACGGACACGUCAAGUGCCAAGGCUAUGUGAUUAAAUUUUAAGUUUUUGUUUAUUUUGUAAAUAGGGCUAAGUUUCCUUUUUGUCUUAUUUGUAUAAAUGUGAUGUUGUAAGGGUGAUAUAUAAUAUUUGUAUAUAAAUUUUUAAU